rnacentral:sRNA from 1 species
GGUGCUUUGAACUGUGAAGAAAAACUAACACUAGCUAAGAAUACACUGCAGGCUGUAAGUCUCGACUGUUUUGUCCAACAUCUAUGUCACGUUUCCUGCUUCUCACCCUCUGCUCUAAUCGUUGAAGUUAGCAAUCGAGGAAUCCAGAUGUAUUAUUUCCCUUUUUUUUUGGAAUUGCAGUAGACUUCUUGGCGCCUUCUGUCCUAGUGAGUGGGGCAAUGGAAGUUUUCCCACUGUUAUUCUCUCUUCCUGUCUCAGGAUGCUGCUCAUCUGGAAUCAGGACAACCGGUACAAUGUGAGUCAGAUGUCAUUAUGUACAUUCAGGAGUGUGAAGGUCUCAUCAGGCAGCUGCAGGUGGAUCUCCAGAUCCUGCGGGAUGAGAAUUACUACCAGCUAGAAGAGCUGGCUUUUAGGGUCAUGCGUCUUCAGGAUGAGCUGGUCACCUUGCGUCUAGAGUGUACAAACCUGUACCGGAAGGGUCAUUUCACUUCACUUGAAUUGGUUCCACCCUCUACUUUAACCACCACUCAUCUGAAAGCAGAACCCUUAACCAAGGCAACCCAUUCUUCUUCUGCCUCCUGGUUCCGAAAGCCUAUGACUCGGGCUGAACUUGUGGCUAUCAGCUCCUCUGAAGAUGAAGGCAAUCUCCGAUUUGUGUAUGAACUACUGUCUUGGGUAGAAGAGAUGCAGGUGGGUGUAUAUCCAAAAGCUUAUGCAGUACACAGAUGUUUACUGGAUCUA